CCAGCAGCCGCGGUAAUUCCAGCUCCAAUAGCGUAUAUUACAGUUGUUGCAGUUAAAAAGCUCGUAGUUGGAUUUCUGGCAGGAGCGUCCGGUCUCACACUCAGUGCGGGAACUUGUGUUGUCUCUGGCCAUCCUUGGGGAGAUCCUGUUUGGCAUUAAGUUGUCGGGCAGGGGAUACCCAUCGGUUACUGUGGAAAAAUUAGAGUGUUUAAAGCAGGCUUGUGCCGUUGAAUAUAUUAGCAUGGAAUAAUAAGAUAGGACUUUGGUACUAUUUUGUUGGUUUGUGCACCAGAGUAAUGAUUAAUAGGGACAGUUGGGGCUAUUCGUAUUCCAUUGUCAGAGGUGAAAUUCUUGGAUUUCUGGAAGACGAACUACUGCGAAAGCAUUUAGCAAGGAUGUUUUCAU
rnacentral:rRNA from 1 species